CCCUUAGAUGUCCGGGGCCGCACGCGCGCUACACUGAAGGAAUCAGCGUGGCUUUCUCCCUGACCCGAAAGGGUUGGGAAACCCGUUGAAUCUCAUUCGUGAUAGGGAUUGGGGCUUGAAAUUGUUCCCCAUGAACGAGGAAUUCCCAGUAAGCGCGAGUCAUAAGCUCGCGUUGAUUACGUCCCUGCCCUUUGUACACACCGCCCGUCGCUACUACCGAUUGAACGGUUUAGUGAGGGCCUCGGAUUGGUCUCGGCCCGCUCUUUACCGGGCGGCGCCGUUGGUCGAGAAGACGCUCGAACUUGAUCGUUUAGAGGAAGUAAAAGUCGUAACA
rnacentral:rRNA from 1 species